UAAAAAGGGAAGUGGUGCUGUCACUGAGAUGGCAAAAGGAGGUGGAAAAUUAAUAUCAACAAUGACAAGCAUAAGCUCUUCUCUUCAUAUGUGGUUGUACCACUACAUUGAAGGGCCAACAGCAUUGCUGAGACUGAUAAAUCGAGGUGUCUACAUAAAAGCUGGUGGUCAUCAACUAACACAUGCGUCCUGGAUAAAUAUUCAAACAUAAAAUAUCUCUUAGAGUCAGACCCCUCACUCAGAUCAGUUAUGGCUUAUAUGAAUAAAGAAAAUUAUGAUGAUGCUAAACCUCUCUGGAUAAGACUACUAAUAUGGUUUCCUAAAAAUAAAAUAAUUGACUGUAAAAGUUGUGUGCGAGACCAUUUUCCAGCGUUUGCUAAACUGAUAUGCGCUGAAGUCGAUUAUCGUCAAGAAACCCUGAAUGACGAUGCCAUAUAUGAAACAACGCUGAGGUAAGCAAUGAAUAUAAAUAAUAACGACAGCAGAGCUUCUCACCAGAGGCCUGGCAGGUCACACAUUUAAAAAGCCUUUAUAUUUAUAUAAAUUAUAAUAUUAUAUUCUCUAUGACAAUGAGCCGUCUUCUGGGUCAUCAAAUUUUUGGUUUUUCGACUUCGAGCAGGAGCUUGUGUCAUCUGCCCUGUCAUCAAGCUUAUGUCAUCUGCCUUGUUGGCUAUGUUAAUGAAGCUCAAGCUAGAGAACAUAAAUAUGGCAUUCCUGAGACUGGAACAGGAGCACAGCCUUUUUCCAUUGAACUAGACUCCUUGUGCCACAUUCUAGCUAAACUCAAGCUUUAGUCCAAUUUUAAAUAGUAAUCUUUUCUGAGAAUGAUGUUUUUGACAUUAAACACUCAAAUUGAAAUUAAAAUGCGGAGUGUCUGCUUUAAUUCAAAGGUAUGAGUAACCAUGUACUAGUUACAUUGUUUUGAGUGCCCCCUUUUUUAGGUCACCAAAAAGUAUUUGACAAUUGACAGUUGUUUUAUUGUACUAGAGGUCUAGAGUUGAUGUGGAAUGUUCUUCUUAACAAAAGGACUAAGAAAUUACCAAUGUCAGGAAAGUAAAUCAUUAAGAAAACGGAAAAUCAUAGAC